CUUUCCAGUACCAGGUUUAAGUGUGCCUCUGUAGCAAGGUUGUAUAAGGUGGGAGCAACAAGGUUGAUAGGCCUAUCCCUGACUCGAGAAUUUUAACCAACUGCAAUGCACAUGCUUAUGACAAGAAUGCACUACUGCAGAAGGUCAGAGCUAAUGAGGAGUUUUCCCUCCAUCCUCCCAGCCUUGAGAGUGCUUUUGUGUUGGCAAAAGAAAGCUCCAUUAUAUUUCACCACUGAAACAAGAAGGUAUGCGUUUGUUUAUAUGCAGGUCAUCACCCAAUACUUCUCUAACUUCUGUUCUAGGCAAAUGAGAACACAGGUGAGAUAUAUAGGCUAUGACUGUUCACACCAAACAAAUGCUGGAUGUUAUCACUGUGUUCUAUUGGAACACAUGCUUCAGGAUUGUAUGAAUAGACAAAAGAGCUCAAGGAAUUGAGACAUCACAGAGCUCUGUCAUUGUAGACCAGCAAGACUCAGAAAACCUGCGUUGCAACAGUUGUAAACAGUCACCCUGUGGCCAAUACCUCAGUUUCAACAGAAUACUAAAUUAGAUUUGUACAUUUAAAUAUAUUGCACAUACGAUUUUAUUUGCAUGCUUUUAUAAAUUUGCUUUGGAAUUAAAAUUCUAUAAAAGGUACAAACAAAUAGAUGCAGGAGCCAGAAAUACCCUUGGGAAAGUUAAUGUCAUUAUGCAUAAGCAAGAAAGUCACUGGGCCUGGCUACCAGGAAGUGAGACACAGAAUGGGCAAAUUUAGAAUGGGAAAGGAGACACAUGUGAGACUCCUGAGUGGAAAUGCGGUGCGGAUAUGGAUGCAGAGGUGGGGAACAGUGGGUGGAGCAAAUGACAGAGUGCUCCUGUGGGAGAGAGGGACAGUCCAGAAGAUGCGGGCAGAUGGGAGGCCCUGAACUCCACCAACCCGAUUUCUCAGGCUUUGCCAAAAGUCACAGCAGGGGCAAGUCAGCAUGCUCAUUGGAGGUCAGUCCGGGCGCCUGUGCAGGGCGCAGCGAGGGAAGCGUCCAUCUCUGCUGCAUUCACACCUGAGUGACUGUAGCGCCUCUGCAGGCGAUUCAGUUCCACCCCGAAUGUCUGCUGCCAGCCCCCCAGCAGCUGAGCGCAGCUUCCCAGUGAUCAGGUGCGAGGUUCUCCGCCAUCCCCAUCUGUGCCUGGCUGAUGCCUUACCAUCUGGGUUCCACUGUGUCUCCCUCUCAGAGGAGCUUUUCCUUCACUUUCCUUCUCUGCUAUUCCCCAUCUCAUAACCCUGCUUAAUUUUUUUCAGAGCCCAAAUUGCGAUCUAAAAUCAUCUUACUUCCUCAUUUGUUCAAUUUUUUUUUUUGUAAUUUUCCUCUUAUCCUGCACGUUAACUUCACGAAAAAGUGGAUCUUUUCUGUCCUGCGCAUUAUUUUAACGCUAAGAAUCUACAUCUGUUACAAACAAUUACUGUCUGUAACAUAGUCAUUACAUUCAGUAUGCUAAGUGAAUGAAUGUUUUUGGUGCAAAUCUAAAUAGCCUUUUAUUACAGGUAAUUUAAAUAAACACUUAAUAUUAUAUUUUAGAACACAAUUUUAAAGGAUUUUCUGUUACCAGAUAGAUGAUGAACUUUUAACUUCUUAAACUGAUGUCGUAUUAAAAAUACCUAGGAAAAAAUAAAACAAAUAAUAUGUAGAAAACUCUCA